rnacentral:rRNA from 1 species
AAAUUGAAGAGUUUGAUCAUGGCUCAGAUUGAACGCUGGCGGCAGGCCUAACACAUGCAAGUCGAACGGUAACAGGAAGCAGCUUGCUGCUUUGCUGACGAGUGGCGGACGGGUGAGUAAUGUCUGGGAAACUGCCUGAUGGAGGGGGAUAACUACUGGAAACGGUGGCUAAUACCGCAUAACGUCGCAAGACCAAAGAGGGGGACCUUCGGGCCUCUUGCCAUCAGAUGUGCCCAGAUGGGAUUAGCUUGUUGGUGAGGUAACGGCUCACCAAGGCGACGAUCCCUAGCUGGUCUGAGAGGAUGACCAGCCACACUGGAACUGAGACACGGUCCAGACUCCUACGGGAGGCAGCAGUGGGGAAUAUUGCACAAUGGGCGCAAGCCUGAUGCAGCCAUGCCGCGUGUAUGAAGAAGGCCUUCGGGUUGUAAAGUACUUUCAGCGGGGAGGAAGGUGUUGCGGUUAAUAACCGCAGCAAUUGACGUUACCCGCAGAAGAAGCACCGGCUAACUCCGUGCCAGCAGCCGCGGUAAUACGGAGGGUGCAAGCGUUAAUCGGAAUUACUGGGCGUAAAGCGCACGCAGGCGGUCUGUCAAGUCGGAUGUGAAAUCCCCGGGCUCAACCUGGGAACUGCAUUCGAAACUGGCAGGCUUGAGUCUUGUAGAGGGGGGUAGAAUUCCAGGUGUAGCGGUGAAAUGCGUAGAGAUCUGGAGGAAUACCGGUGGCGAAGGCGGCCCCCUGGACAAAGACUGACGCUCAGGUGCGAAAGCGUGGGGAGCAAACAGGAUUAGAUACCCUGGUAGUCCACGCCGUAAACGAUGUCUACUUGGAGGUUGUGCCCUUGAGGCGUGGCUUCCGGAGCUAACGCGUUAAGUAGACCGCCUGGGGAGUACGGCCGCAAGGUUAAAACUCAAAUGAAUUGACGGGGGCCCGCACAAGCGGUGGAGCAUGUGGUUUAAUUCGAUGCAACGCGAAGAACCUUACCUGGUCUUGACAUCCACGGAAGAAUUCAGAGAUGGAUUUGUGCCUUCGGGAACCGUGAGACAGGUGCUGCAUGGCUGUCGUCAGCUCGUGUUGUGAAAUGUUGGGUUAAGUCCCGCAACGAGCGCAACCCUUAUCCUUUGUUGCCAGCGAUUCGGUCGGGAACUCAAAGGAGACUGCCAGUGAUAAACUGGAGGAAGGUGGGGAUGACGUCAAGUCAUCAUGGCCCUUACGACCAGGGCUACACACGUGCUACAAUGGCGCAUACAAAGAGAAGCGACCUCGCGAGAGCAAGCGGACCUCAUAAAGUGCGUCGUAGUCCGGAUUGGAGUCUGCAACUCGACUCCAUGAAGUCGGAAUCGCUAGUAAUCGUGGAUCAGAAUGCCACGGUGAAUACGUUCCCGGGCCUUGUACACACCGCCCGUCACACCAUGGGAGUGGGUUGCAAAAGAAGUAGGUAGCUUAACCUUCGGGAGGGCGCUUACCACUUUGUGAUUCAUGACUGGGGUGAAGUCGUAACAAGGUAACCGUAGGGGAACCUGCGGUUGGAUCACCUCCUUA